UACGUAGGAGGCUAACGUUAUCCGGAUUUACUGGGCGUAAAGCGCGUGUAGGCGGUCCUGCAAGUGGCGCGUGAAAGCGCCCGGCUCAACCGGGCGAGGACGUGACCGAACUGCGGGGCUAGAGGCAGGUAGAGGCGUGUGGAAUUCCGGGUGUAGUGGUGAAAUGCGUAGAGAUCCGGAGGAACACCAGUGGCGAAGGCGACACGCUGGGCCUGACCUGACGCUGAGAGGCGAAAGCAUGGGGAGCGAACGGGAUUAGAUACCCGGGUAGUCCCU
rnacentral:rRNA from 1 species